ACGGAAGGCAGCAGUGGGGAAUAUUGGGCAAUGGGGGAACCCCUGACCUAGCAACGCCGCGUGAAGGAAGAAGGCCUUCGGGUUGUAAACUUCUUUUACCAGGGACGAUAAUGACGGUACCUGGAGAAAAAGCAACGGCUAACUACGUGCCAGCAGCCGCGGUAAUACGUAGGUUGCAAGCGUUGUCCGGAUUUACUGGGUGUAAAGGGCGUGUAGGCGGAGCUGCAAGUCAGAUGUGAAAUCCCGGGGCUCAACCCCGGAACUGCAUUUGAAACUGUAGCCCUUGAGUAUCGGAGAGGCAAGCGGAAUUCCUAGUGUAGCGGGGAAAUGCGUAGAUAUUAGGAGGAACACCAGUGGCGAAGGCGGCUUGCUGGACGACAACUGACGCUGAGGCGCGAAAGCGUGGGGAGCAAACAGGAUUAGAUACCCUGGUA
rnacentral:rRNA from 1 species